rnacentral:lncRNA from 1 species
GGAGAAUUCUUAAUCUCAAAAUGUUUAGUUAUUCCUGCAGAUUAAAAAAUAAACCUAAGCUUCUCUUCCAUAAUCAGAUAUAGAUGUUUAUUACUCAAAAACAAAACAAAACUUUCUCACUGAUUUAGUGGCUGACAGAUCUCACACUCUAUGGUGCUAAUUGCCCUAUUUAUGUCUGUUUUUUUUUUUUUUUCCAUUUGAAACAGAAGUACUGAAGCAAAUGCAUGACCAGACUGAAGGAUGGCUGACUUUCUGUAUCAGUUGCUCUACUCUGAUGUCUUCUAGAAGAGAGAGUGAGACAACCGCUGGAGUAUCUCCAACAGUGAAUUCCCAGUUUGGAAUGUACCUCUCCUUCACAUAAUCCUGGCAUUCUCAACAUGGGGAAGGAAGCUGACUCCAUCCAUCCCAGGCACCAGAGAACACCAUGGCCUCGCUGUAGGGAUCAAGCAAGUCUGGAUGUCAGGGGAUGCACCCCCUCCCUUGCCGGGGAACACCAGCGCAUAUUGGACCCAUCCUAGCCCAUCCAGGAUCCAUUGGUUCAUCUCCUGCUGCAGCAUUCAUAGUUCUAGAGCCUGUACCUUGGAUGCAAAAUUAAUGUGCCCGGAAGAGCAGUAUUGCAAACAAGCCACAUCCCUGCCAGUGCCCAAACAGGUAGGUGACCCCCUGAGAGUGCUGGGGGAGAGGCGGAUGGUAAUAUUGAAGAGAAAGUCCAAAUAUCCCCAGAGAGGCUAUCAGAUGGCCCCUGGAUUUGCUUCCAUUCCUGAGGUUCUAAGUGAUUCUCUCAGCCAUCCCUUCAAAUACUUAAGAGAUUGGUCGUCACCAGAGGCAGGUGGGAGGUGGGUGAAAUGGGUAAAGAUGAUCAAAAGGUACAAACUCCCAGUUAUAAGAUAA